UGAGUGUGUGCAUACGUGUGUGUGGAUGGGUAUAGAUGAAUGGAUGUACUGAAGGUAUGUGGGUGUGAAUGUGUCUGGGUGUAGAGGUGUGUGUGUGCAGGUGCACAGGUCUACUGCCAGGUGUUGGCUGUUGUGAGCAUGUGGAUGUUGUGAACAGGUGUGGUUGUGUCAGGGCGCAUGAGCGUGCGGGUGCACAGGUGUACUGCUGGCUAUCAUGAGCACAUGGACGUGUUGCAUGAGAGUGUGCAGGUGUGUGAUGGUAUGGAUGUGCAUAAGUGUGUAUAUGUGAGUGUGCAUUCAUACUCAGUGUAAAUGUGAGUGUGUACUGGGAGAGAAGCAUAGCAGGACAGAUUGAUGUCUGUCUUUCCACCUCUCUUGGGACUCCCACCCCUUCCUCCCCGCACUGUAGUCUGCUCCACAGAGGAUCUGUGGGAGUUUGGGAGUUCACCCAGACCCUGACUGCCCCCCACUGAGGGCCAGGACCCGCUCCCGGCUCCAAGCGGGUGGCCACAGCCCUUCCCAGUGGGCUGGUCCCCACAACGACGGGUGCUGGAUUAGCGGAUGAGCGAUACAAUGGGCGCAUAUGGUCCCGCGUGCCGGGUGCGGCGCCUGGCCCCUUACUCAGCGCCACUAGGAUUAGACCUAAUGAAUUGGAAGGAGUUAACAAUGCUUCGGGGCCGAGCAGAGGCCCAGGAGGCCUGCGCAGGCCCUGUGCUGUGGCUGCCUUUCACCGCUGAGGUGUAAUCCGCUUUGAAAUCAAAGGUGGUACAAAGUAUGAAUUUAAAUUUGACAUUUACAGCUCCGGUGAGAUGACGUAUUCUGAAAGGGUCUCUUCUUCUUUAAGGGGGUUGUGGGCCCCAUUUGUUUUCCUGUUGAAUUGUGGUAAAAUAUAUAUAACAUAAAACUUGCCAUUUUAACCAUUUUCUAAGUGCACAAUUCAGUGGCAUUAGUUACAUUCACAAUGUUGUGCAACUAUCACCAGUAUCUCUUUCCAAAAAUUUCUCGUCACCCCUAACAGAAACUCUGUACCCAAUAAGCAAUCACUUCCCAUCCCCUCUCCCCACUGGGACCCUCUAAUCUACUUUCUGUCUGUGUGAAUUUGCUUAUUCUAGGCAUUUCAUGUGGAAUCAUACAAUAGUUAUCCUUUUGUGUCCAGUUUCUUUCACUUAGAAUAAUAUCUUCAUCCAUGUUGUAGCAGGUAUCAUAACUUCAUUCCUUUUUUAUGGCUGCAUAAUAUUCCAUUGUGUGUAUAGACCACAUUUCGUUUAUCCAUUCAUCUGUUGAGAGACACUUGAGUUGUUUCCACCUUUUUGCCUAUUGUGAAUAAUGCUGCUUUGAACAUUGGCAAAUAAGUAUCUGUUCGAGUCCCUGUUUUCAAUUCUUUUGGGUAUAUACAUAGGAGUGGAAUUGCUGGGUCAUAUGGUAAUUCUAUGUUUAACUUUUUGAGGACCCUCCAAACUAUUCCACAGCAGCUGCACCAUUUUAUAUUCCCACUAGCAGCACACGAAGGUUCCAAUUUCUCCACAUCCUCACCAACAUUUAUUUUCUGUGUGUUUUUAAUUUUUUCUUUUCUUUUUUUUGUUUUUUUUGUUUUUGAGGAAGAUUGGCCCUGAGCUAACAUCUGUUACCAAUCUUCUUUUUUCUUCCUCCCCAAAGCCCCCCAGUACAUAAUUGUAUAUGCUAGUUGUAGGUCCUUCUGGCUCUGCUAUGUGGCUUGAUGAGCCAUGCUAGGUCCACACCCAGGAUCCGAACUGGCGAACCUUGAGCCACCGAAGUGGAGUGCAAAAACUUAACCACUAGGCCACAGGGCUGGCCCCUUCUGUGUAUUUAAAAA
ensembl:lncRNA